rnacentral:rRNA from 1 species
UACGGAGGGGGCUAGCGUUGUUCGGAAUUACUGGGCGUAAAGCGCACGUAGGCGGCUUUGUAAGUUAGAGGUGAAAGCCCGGGGCUCAACUCCGGAAUUGCCUUUAAGACUGCAUCGCUAGAAUUGUGGAGAGGUAAGUGGAAUUCCGAGUGUAGAGGUGAAAUUCGUAGAUAUUCGCAAGAACACCAGUGGCGAAGGCGGCUCACUGGCCCGAUACUGACGCUGAGGUGCGAAAGCGUGGGGAGCAAACAGG